rnacentral:ncRNA from 1 species
UUUAUCAAGAGUGACGGAGGGAUCAGGCCCCAUGAUGUCCGGCAGCCUGCCGCAAGAGCGGUAAGGUGCCAAAUCCUGCGGUGCAGCGCGCCGAAAGAUGAGG